rnacentral:rRNA from 1 species
UACGUAGGGUGCGAGCGUUGUCCGGAAUUACUGGGCGUAAAGAGCUCGUAGGCGGUUUGUCGCGUCUGCUGUGAAAACCCGAGGCUCAACCUCGGGCCUGCAGUGGGUACGGGCAGACUAGAGUGCGGUAGGGGAGAUUGGAACUCCUGGUGUAGCGGUGGAAUGCGCAGAUAUCAGGAGGAACACCGGUGGCGAAGGCGGGUCUCUGGGCCGAGUACUGACG